GACGAACGCUGGCGGCGUGCUUAACACAUGCAAGUCGAGCGGUAAGGCCCUUUCGGGGGUACACGAGCGGCGAACGGGUGAGUAACACGUGGGUGACCUGCCCUCAGCUCUGGGAUAAGCCCGGGAAACUGGGUCUAAUACCGGAUAUGACUCCACGGUGCAUGUCGUGGGGUGGAAAGCCUUGUGCGGCUGAGGAUGGGCCCGCGGCCUAUCAGCUUGUUGGUGGGGUGAUGGCCUACCAAGGCGACGACGGGUAGCCGGCCUGAGAGGGCGACCGGCCACACUGGGACUGAGACACGGCCCAGACUCCUACGGGAGGCAGCAGUGGGGAAUCUUGCGCAAUGGGCGAAAGCCUGACGCAGCGACGCCGCGUGAGGGAUGACGGCCU
rnacentral:rRNA from 1 species